UCUAGAGAUGAGAAAUCUGGGUUUGGAGAACAGUGUGUCCUGGCCACACGGGCCAGUGAACCCGCCCACGAUACCCCUGCCUGUUCGUGGACGGGCUGGCCUCCCUGACGACGAACCCUGCCUCCAGGGGCACAGUUCAACCUGAGCCCCUGGGUUGCAGCCCUCCAUGCUACCCCCGCCCCCGCCGCCCACUUUAAGGGGGGCAUAACCAGUGACCCACAAAAGGAUGGCAGUGCCUGGUCUUGUGCCUUGCGCUUGCCAGAAUCUUCUUCCUGACAGCUCUGAGCCCUACAGGGACCAGCGUCCUUACAGCAGGCAGGGCGUUGCUGAGAUCUACAGGCCUCCGGAGGCCCUCCCUGCCUCUCACCUCACGCCGGAUGGAGGUUACUACUUGGCCAAACGAAGCAUUGACAGCUCAUAGAUGCUGGCCUUGACCCUGUGCAGAAAAAGACCCAGGAAAGGGUUCCUUUGUCCAACAUUCGUGAAGAACGAGCCAGCAGCUGUCAUCGGCACCCGGUUGGCUGGCACGUCCAUGUGGUGAAGCGACAGCGACGGUGCUCACCCCAGGACGGAGAGGUGGUGACUCAGGACAACUUGCCCCGUUCCCCAGGCGCGCCCAGCCAGCGCUGCAGCCAC